GUGUUGUAUGAAAGGAGAGAAGGUAGGCAUUCCCCUUGACGAGAAUGGAAGAGGCCCUCAGGCCUGCACAACACACAUAUAGUUAAGGUUUUACCACCUACUUUGUAGCAUUUAACCAUGUUUUUUC